rnacentral:rRNA from 1 species
UACGUAGGGCGCAAGCGUUAUCCGGAAUUAUUGGGCGUAAAGAGCUCGUAGGCGGUUUGUCGCGUCUGCCGUGAAAGUCCGGGGCUCAACUCCGGAUCUGCGGUGGGUACGGGCAGACUAGAGUGAUGUAGGGGAGACUGGAAUUCCCGGUGUAGUGGUGAAAUGCGUAGAUAUCGGGAGGAACACCAGUGGCGAAGGCGACUUCCUGGCCUGUUCUUGACGCUGAGGCGCGAAAGCUAGGGUAGCAAACGGG